rnacentral:rRNA from 1 species
GGCCUAACACAUGCAAGUCGAGCGCCGUAGCAAUACGGAGCGGCAGACGGGAGAGUAACACGUGGGAACGUACCCUUCAGUACGGAACAACCAAGGGAAACUUUGGCUAAUACCGUAUACGUCCGUAAGGAGAAAGAUUUAUCGCUGAAGGAUCGGCCCGCGUCUGAUUAGCUAGUUGGUGAGGUAACGGCUCACCAAGGCGACGAUCAGUAGCUGGUCUGAGAGGAUGAUCAGCCUCACUGGGACUGAGACACGGCCCAGACUCCUACGGGAGGCAGCAGUGGGGAAUAUUGAACAAUGGGCGCAAGCCUGAUCCAGCCAUGCCGCGUGGGUGAUGAAGGCCCUAGGGUUGUAAAGCCC